rnacentral:rRNA from 1 species
UGGGGAAUUUUGGACAAUGGGCGCAAGCCUGAUCCAGCAAUGCCGCGUGCAGGAUGAAGGCCUUCGGGUUGUAAACUGCUUUUAUACGGAGCGAAAAGGUCUGCCCUAAUACGGUGGGCUCAUGACGGUACCGUAAGAAUAAGCACCGGCUAACUACGUGCCAGCAGCCGCGGUAAUACGUAGGGUGCGAGCGUUAAUCGGAAUUACUGGGCGUAAAGCGUGCGCAGGCGGUUAUAUAAGACAGAGGUGAAAUCCCCGGGCUCAACCUGGGAACUGCCUUUGUGACUGCAUAGCUAGAGUACGGUAGAGGGGGAUGGAAUUCCGCGUGUAGCAGUGAAAUGCGUAGAUAUGCGGAGGAACACCGAUGGCGAAGGCAAUCCCCUGGACCUGUACAGACGCUCAUGCACGAAAGCGUGGGGAGCAAACA